rnacentral:rRNA from 1 species
GCAGUAGCCACGGUAAUACGGAGGGUGCAAGCGUUAUCCGGAUUCACUGGGUUUAAAGGGUGCGUAGGCGGGCAGGUAAGUCAGUGGUGAAAUCUUCGAGCUUAACUCGGAAGCUGCCGUUGAUACUAUCUGUCUUGAAUAACGUUGAGGUGAGCGGAAUAUGUCAUGUAGCGGUGAAAUGCUUAGAUAUGACAUAGAACACCGAUUGCGAAGGCAGCUCACUAAACGCUCAUUGACGCUGAGGCACGAAAGCGUGGGGAUCAAACAGGAUUAGAGACCCCCGUAGUCCCUGUCUCUUAUAU